ACUCCUACGGGAGGCAGCAGUGGGGAAUAUUGCACAAUGGGGCGCAAGCCUGAUGCAGCCAUGCCGCGUGUAUGAAGAAGGCCUUCGGGUUGAUAAAGUACUUUCAGCAGGUGAGGAGGCGGUACGUUAAUAGCGUGCUCGUUUGACGUUAGCUGCAGAAGAAGCACCGGCUAACUCCGUGCCAGCAGCCGCGGUAAUACGGAGGGUGCGAGCGUUAAUCGGAAUUACUGGGCGUAAAGCGCAUGCAGGUGGUUUGUUAAGUCAGAUGUGAAAGCCCGGGGCUCAACCUCGGAAUUGCAUUUGAAACUGGCAGACUAGAGUACUGUAGAGGGGGGUAGAAUUUCAGGUGUAGCGGUGAAAUGCGUAGAGAUCUGAAGGAAUACCGGUGGCGAAGGCGGCCCCCCUGGACAGAUACUGACACUCAGAUGGCGAAAAG
rnacentral:rRNA from 1 species